rnacentral:rRNA from 1 species
CUACGGGUGGCUGCAGUGGGGAAUCUUAGACAAUGGGGGAAACCCUGAUCUAGCCAUGCCGCGUGAGCGAUGAAGGCCUUAGGGUUGUAAAGCUCUUUCAGCUGGGAAGAUAAUGACGGUACCAGCAGAAGAAGCCCCGGCUAACUCCGUGCCAGCAGCCGCGGUAAUACGGAGGGGGCUAGCGUUGUUCGGAAUUACUGGGCGUAAAGCGCACGUAGGCGGACUAUUAAGUCGAGGGUGAAAUCCCGGGGCUCAACCCCGGAACUGCCUUCGAUACUGGUAGUCUUGAGGUCGAGAGAGGUGAGUGGAAUUCCGAGUGUAGAGGUGAAAUUCGUAGAUAUUCGGAGGAACACCAGUGGCGAAGGCGGCUCACUGGCUCGAUACUGACGCUGAGGUGCGAAAGCGUGGGGAGCAAACAGGAUUAGAUACCCUCGUAGUC